rnacentral:lncRNA from 1 species
UCGGGUUCUGUGGACACAGGCAGGAAGCUUAAGAGGCUCUGCUGAGCAGGGACCUGGGGAAGAGAGAGGAGAGGCAGCAGCAUGGCGAGUGUCCUGUCCCGACGCCUUGGAAAGCGGUCCCUCCUGGGAGCCCGGGUGUUGGGACCCAGUGCCUCGGAGGGGCCCUCGGCUGCCCCACCCUCGGAGCCACUGCUAGAAGGGGCCGCUCCCCAGCCUUUCACC